ensembl:lncRNA
UCAGGAACACAUGGACACGUCACAAGGGGUCACCUGCUCAUCAGGCGUGAGGCAAACAAAGCCUCUUGGUGGAGAAGAGACAUUUAACAGGUUAAAUGAGGCCAUUGAGAGUCGACUCGUCCUAACGUCUAACGUCCUCCGUCCUACCUUCAGCUCCUGCAGGUGGAGAUCUCUAAAGGGGAUUUUUAUCAGCUUCUGCAGUAUAAUUAUGGACCUGCCAGGACCACGGAACAUGAAGGAAGAACAAGCGUGAAUGCAGUGUCACCCGAGGGUCGCUUGCUCCUGAGAUAAAGAAGAAAUGGUAGAAAUGAAAAAUGUUUUGCCGCGGUGAGGCGAUCGAUGGCUGCAGCCACGGAGGGGAAAACCAUUUAUUUUGCCAUUUGAUACAUGAUAUUUCUCACUGUAUUUGCUGGCAAUACGUCAUGUGAUUUGUAACCAUAACAUGUCCUUUCACUGUUUAGGAAAACCGCAACAAGCCGCGAUGUUUCUGAAGUUGGAAGGAAAGAUGUUUUUUUAUCUCUUUGCAUGUGUGAACGAUGUGCUUUUGACAUCUGAGUCCUGAAUGCUGGAUCGUGGUUGGGCUGAUUCUCGGCACCCCGACAUGCUGUGUGGGAUUAUUGUUUCUACUCACACUCACCUUUUCUCUCCCAGCGCGAUGAUGGUUUUGAUGGUAUCAUUUUCAUUGUGGAAAAAUUGAACCGUGAGAGAAAACGCGUGGUUGAGCUGAGUGCACUUCAGCCGGGAUCGCUGUAGAGAAGCUCCGAUACGACACCAAUGGACAAGAGACAUGACUCCACCCCAUCUUCAGCUGGACAAUGGUCAUUGCUCCAAUUCGCACAAUCUGAAUGUCGUGUAAUUUGAUAGAUUGCAUUAGCGGGUGGGCCAUCGAUCUAAAGCAAAAAGAGCAUCCAGAGCUCAUCGAUCAAAAUGCAAAGCACAGAUGAUGCUUCGUGCCGUUUGGGAAACUCACAACUGAACGUUUAAAGUGAGAUAAUUGCCUCUACAAGCUAAACGACAACGUUAAAUAUUGAAAAAACAAGGAAAGAGCCCCAGAUUCAGCACCCUGGACAGCGGUCGAGUCUU